UGGGGAAUAUUGCACAAUGGGGGGAACCCUGAUGCAGCAACGCCGCGUGAGCGAAGAAGGCCUUCGGGUCGUAAAGCUCUGUCCUAUGGGAAGAAACAAAUGACGGUACCAUAGGAGGAAGCCCCGGCUAACUACGUGCCAGCAGCCGCGGUAAUACGUAGGGGGCAAGCGUUAUCCGGAAUCACUGGGCGUAAAGGGUGCGUAGGCGGCUUGAUAAGUCAGAGGUGAAAGGCUACGGCUUAACCGUAGUAAGCCUUUGAAACUGUUGAGCUUGAGUGCAGGAGAGGUAAGUGGAAUUCCUAGUGUAGCGGUGAAAUGCGUAGAUAUUAGGAGGAACACCAGUGGCGAAGGCGACUUACUGGACUGUAACUGACGCUGAGGCACGAAAGCGUGGGGAGCA
rnacentral:rRNA from 1 species